rnacentral:rRNA from 1 species
UACCAGCACCCCGAGUGGUCGGGACGAUUAUUGGGCCUAAAGCAUCCGUAGCCGGUCCUGCAAGUCUUCCGUUAAAUCCACCUGCUUAACAGAUGGGCUGCGGAGGAUACUACAUGUCUAGGAGGCGGGAGAGGCAAGCGGUACUUAAUGGGUAGGGGUAAAAUCCGUUGAUCCAUUGAAGACCACCAGUGGCGAAGGCGGCUUGCCAGAACGCACUCGACGGUGAGGGAUGAAAGCUGGGGGAGCAAACCGGAUUAGAUACCCGGGUAGUCCCAGCUGUAAACGAUGCAGACUCGGUGAUGAAUAGGCUUCGUGCCUAUUCAGUGCCGCAGGGAAGCCGUUAAGUCUGCCGCCUGGGGAUACGGUCGCAAGACUGAAACUUAAAGGAAUUGGCGGGGAGCACCACAAGGGGUGAAGCCUGCGGUUC